rnacentral:tRNA from 1 species
AGCUCAGUUGGUCAGAGCCUGGCACUAAUAAUGUCAAGAUCAUGGGUUUGAUCCCCAU